rnacentral:rRNA from 1 species
GGCGGUCGACUUAUCGCGUUAGCUGCGCCACUAAGAUCUCAAGGAUCCCAACGGCUAGUCGACAUCGUUUACGGCGUGGACUACCAGGGUAUCUAAUCCUGUUUGCUCCCCACGCUUUCGCACCUCAGUGUCAGUAUCAGUCCAGGUGGUCGCCUUCGCCACUGGUGUUCCUUCCUAUAUCUACGCAUUUCACCGCUACACAGGAAAUUCCACCACCCUCUACCGUACUCUAGCUCAGUAGUUUUGGAUGCAGUUCCCAGGUUGAGCCCGGGGAUUUCACAUCCAACUUGCUGAACCACCUACGCGCGCUUUACGCCCAGUAAUUCCGAUUAACGCUUGCACCCUUCGUAUUACCGCGGCUGCUGGCACGAAGUUAGCCGGUGCUUAUUCUGUUGGUAACGUCAAAACAGCAAGGUAUUAACUUACUGCCCUUCCUCCCAACUUAAAGUGCUUUACAAUCCGAAGACCUUCUUCACACACGCGGCAUGGCUGGAUCAGGCUUUCGCCCAUUGUCCAAUAUUCCCCACUGCUGCCUCCCGUAGGAGUCUGGACCGUGUCUCAGUUCCAGUGUGACUGAUCAUCCUCUCAGACCAGUUACGGAUCGUCGCCUUGGUAGGCCUUUACCCCACCAACUAGCUAAUCCGACCUAGGCUCAUCUGAUAGCGUGAGGUCCGAAGAUCCCCCACUUUCUCCCUCAGGACGUAUGCGGUAUUAGCGCCCGUUUCCGGACGUUAUCCCCCACUACCAGGCAGAUUCCUAGGCAUUACUCACCCGUCCGCCGCUGAAUCCAGGAGCAAGCUCCCUUCAUCCGCUCGACUUGCAUGUGUUAGGCCUGCCGCCAGCGUUCAAUCUGAGCCAGGAUCAAACUCUU